GGGGUGGCAUGAGAUCAGCAUGUCCAGCCUCUGCGGCGUGUGCAGAUUCUCGUGGGGUUUUGCAGGCUUGCAUCACUUAACUGCUGAUCGAGCUGCCAGCAGGGCAGACAUGGCCCAAGAAGUCGCUGUCCCCUUUGAAAACUUCCUAAGUUUGGGUAACAGCUGCUUGUCAGGGCACCGAGUUUCCAGAUGCAAGUGUCUGUAAUGAGUAGCCUCAUGGAUGGAUGGAUGGAUGGAUGGAUGUUAGUUUUGGAGGGACUGCAGCCUGCAAUAUCAGGCUGGUGAUGUGUGAGCUGUCCUCACUGAGGUUCAGACUAGCUUCAGAGCUGACUGCUGGGCUGACGAGGCAAAUUCUCUUCUCUUAACAUGGACUAAGUUUUAAGCGUAUUGAAGGAGCUGUGAACGUAGAAUUGAAAACCAGUGGAUCUAAACCUCAUUGCCUCAUUUUCCUGUUUCUCUGUGAUGCUGCUCAAAAGUAGCACUAGUAGAUUUUUAUUUAUUUAACCCUCAAUUCUUGAGAAUUCCCCUUUAAGCAGCACUAUGUAAAGUACAGUCACGGUUACAAAAUCUGCUGUAUGAUUCAGGUAUGUGUCCAAAUCUGGCUUGAUAAAAGUGCAUGAAGAUAAAUAGUAGGGUUUGCCUGAUGUAAUUGUGAUGUAGUCCGUCAAGAAACACAUCUCCUCAAGAAAGAAGGGUUCUUGUCCUGCCCACCAAGCGAAACAAAUUGUUGAAACAAGGGGAAAAAAGAAAGCUGCUUAGUACAAACCUUCUAGGGUUAAGCCUAGCCGUUAUAAUCCACCCUUGCAGCAGGAUUUGAGUGUUCUGUAUCAAUAAAUAGAAUAUAUCUUUCCACUGUUCUGCUCUAAAGGUACACCCAAAACUCCUGAGUGUUUCAAGGUACCAUUAAUUAUGUGCAGGGAUUUAGGACUUUUAAAAUAUUUUAUCUUUUGCUGUAUUUAAAAGAGCUUUUUAGAUACGUCAGCAGCGCAUCUUUAAAUGAACAUUGAACGAUGGCAUGAGCAUCAGUGGCUGUUCUCUUAAAUAUUUACAUCCCAUGAGGCUGAUGUUGGCUCAUUCUUCCCAUUUCAUUCAUUCUGUGGAUUACUCCCCCAUCCUCCUACUGUAAAGGUACAGGUGCAGUUGGAGAAGCCUGAGAAUUAAGAACUGGACCUAUGAAAGGGGCGUGGGUGCUACAUCUUGAAUGUUCUCUGAAUGAAUUAGAAGUCAGGGAAGGUUUUGAGGGUGGUUCUGGUUGACACACCAGGAUCCCAGGCACUGCUGGGAUCCCUGUGCUGUGCCUGGGAGGGAGCAGGAUUUGCCUGGGGUGCCAGGAAGGGAGGAAAAGGAAAGGAGGAAGGGAGGUCCUCUCCUCACCACCCACCGAGCCGGGCUUGCCAUUUGCGGAGCGCGUGACAGCUUUUCAGCAGUCCUGAUUGACAAACAGCUCAGCUCCAUGAACCAAACCCUCUGUGUGUGCAGCGAGGUGCAAGUCUCAAGAGGGAAUAGAGAGCAGUGAUGGUUUUGUUGUGCUUUGGAGUGAUGGACACUUCUCGGCUAUUUAUGUGACACUGCUGGACUUGUUCUGCAUACAAUUUGUUCCUGUCUCCUCUCUUGCUCGUGCUAUCCUUCAGACAAAACUGCUCGUAAAUACAUAGUCUGUAGUUUUUUACUACAUUGCUAAAAUCAGUCCUGAAGCCCUUGUGUAUGUAAGCAUGACCUUUGAAAUACUUCCAGCAAGGGAAAAAAAAAGCCACAGUGGUUUUCCUUUACACCACUGUGUAGAAGUUGUGCUCUCUGUGAGCACUCGUUUGUCCAUCCGCUUGGUCUGGUGAACACUUUCCCUUCAAAGCCAUAAAAGCCCCUAGGAAAAGCUUAUCUUUUGCAAAUACGACUUGCCAAUGCAUUCCUCCAGCAGCUGACAUCUUCAGAGACUGCUUUCUGUAUUAAAUAUGCAGCUCUUAAAAUUAGUCUUCAUUUAAAUGCAGUGUUCCUUUUUUAUGUGUGUCUCUUUGUUGCUGAGGGCAAUUCGGAGUACGUGCAACCGAACAAACAGCGGCUCAGCUAAAUGCUUCUAACUGAAGAGUUUCUGAAUUAAAGGUGCAGUGGGAUCUUAUGUUUUGCUUCUGGUUUAUUUAAUAAUAGCUGCCAGUGAAUGAAGAGCACUUGGGAUGUGGUAUCAGACACUCUGUUUCUCAAAUACAGAGAGAGCGAGAUGUGGAACUGCAGUGACCUGGGCAAAGUCACUCUCCCCAGCCAGGAGCAGAGCGAGGUGAUACCAACUGUAGGAAAGAGAAGCAAGUAACAUUAAUGGGUGAUGCAGAGCCCACCAUACAUGUAUUGUGGCCAGCAGAAAGAGGACACCAACUGUGCUCAUCUCUGUGGGGGUGAACACAGAGCGAGCCCAGCCUGAGGGGACUUUAAAAGGUGGCUUUAAACUGGUACUUUACUGCAUCACUUUGAACUUGGGUACAGUGAUUUAACAAGCUGCUUGAGCCCAAACUGUGACAGAUGUCUGCAGAGAUGCCCCUGUUGUCACUGCAUCGCAGUCCCUAAGCAAAUGUUUUCAUGCAAGUUCUUUAUUGCACCCUGGAGUAAAUCUGAGUUCCUUUAUCAUGUGAUUGAUGGAUCAACUAAAUUAAAUACAAAGCUCUUGCUGGGUUAUAAACACAGAGGAAACCUGUAUGAGAACCGUGGCGUUAUAGUUCAGAGACAGCAUUAACAGGAUCUGUGCAUAGUGGUGUUUGUAGUGAAAAAUAAGAGAGGCACCAAAACUGUAUCAGCGCAAUGCUGGAAGUUUAAUUUUGGGCUUUAAAAUCCUCUGCUGAAGUGUUCAGAGGUAUUGGGGGGAGUUUCUGAGAAACAGUUGCAGAAGAGGAAUUCUAAUAUGAAAGUUUGAUGGGGUUGCAUCAUUUUGAGAAACCCCAGAUGAAUUUUGAGGUCCAGUAGUAGUUU